rnacentral:rRNA from 1 species
CCUACGUGAGUCAGCAGUGAGGAAUAUUGGUCAAUGGGCGGGAGCCUGAACCAGCCAAGUCGCGUGAGGGACGACGGUCCUAUGGAUUGUAAACCUCUUUUGUCGGGGAACAAAGGCGCCCACGGGUGGGCGGAUGAGUGUACCCGAAGAAAACGCAUCGGCUAACUCCGUGCCAGCAGCCGCGGUAAUACGUAGGUGGCAAGCGUUGUCCGGAUUUACUGGGUGUAAAGGGCGUUCAGCCGGGAAGACAAGUCAGAUGUGAAAUCCCGCGGCUCAACCGCGGAACUGCAUUUGAAACUGUUUUUCUUGAGUACCGGAGAGGUCAUCGGAAUUCCUUGUGGAGCGGUGAAAUGCGUAGAUAUAAGGAAGAACACCAGUGGCGAAGGCGGAUGACUGGAAGGCAACUGACGGUGAGGCGCGAAAGCGUGGGGAGCAAACAGGAUUAGAUACCCGAGUAGUC